rnacentral:rRNA from 1 species
UCUUGGGUUGUAAACCUCUUUUCUCAGGGAAGAAAAAAAUGACGGUACCUGAGGAAUAAGCAUCGGCUAACUCCGUGCCAGCAGCCGCGGUAAUACGGAGGAUGCAAGCGUUAUCCGGAAUGAUUGGGCGUAAAGCGUCCGCAGGUGGCGAUGAAAGUCUGCUGUUAAAGAGUGAGGCUCAACCUCAUAAAAGCAGUGGAAACUACAUAGCUAGAGUACGUUCGGGGCAGAGGGAAUUCCUGGUGUAGCGGUGAAAUGCGUAGAGAUCAGGAAGAACACCGGUGGCGAAAGCGCUCUGCUAGGCCUGUACUGACACUGAGGGACGAAAGCUAGGGGAGCGAAUGGGAUUA